GAGGAAAAGAAACUAACAAGGAUUCCCCUAGUAACUGCGAGUGAAGCGGGAAAAGCUCAAAUUUAAAAUCUGGUGGUCUUUGGCCAUCCGAGUUGUAAUCUAGAGAAGUGUUACCCGCGUCGGACCGUGUAUAAGUCUCCUGGAAUGGAGCGUCAUAGAGGGUGAGAAUCCCGUCUUUGACACGGACUACCGAGGCUUUGUGGUGCGCUCUCAACGAGUCGAGUUGUUUGGGAAUGCAGCUCAAAAUGGGUGGUAAAUUCCAUCUAAAGCUAAAUAUUGGCGAGAGACCGAUAGCGAACAAGUACCGUGAGGGAAAGAUGAAAAGAACUUUGGAAAGAGAGUUAAACAGUACGUGAAAUUGCUGAAAGGGAAACGCUUGAAGUCAGUCGCGUUGGCCGGAAAUCAGCCUUGCUUUUGCUGGGUGUACUUUCUGGUUGACGGGCCAGCAUCAGUUUUGACCGGUGGAAAAAGUCAGAGGGAAUGUGGCAUCUUCGGAUGUGUUAUAGCCCUUUGUCGUAUACAUCGGUUGGGACUGAGGAACUCAGCACGCCGAAAGGCCGGGUCUUUGACCACGUUCGUGCUUAGGAUGCUGGCAUAAUGGCUUUAAUCGACCCGUCUUGAAACACGGACCAAGGAGUCUAACAUGCCUGCGAGUGUUUGGGUGGAAAACCCGAGCGCGUAAUGAAAGUGAAAGUUGAGAUCCCUGUCAUGGGGAGCAUCGACGCCCCGGACCAGAAGUUUUCUGACGGCCCUGCGGUAGAGCAUGUAUGUUGGGACCCGAAAGAUGGUGAACUAUGCCUGAAUAGGGUGAAGCCAGAGGAAACUCUGGUGGAGGCUCGUAGCGAUUCUGACGUGCAAAUCGA
rnacentral:rRNA from 1 species